rnacentral:rRNA from 1 species
UUAAGCGACUAAGCGUACACGGUGGAUGCCCUGGCAGUCAGAGGCGAUGAAGGACGUGCUAAUCUGCGAAAAGCGCCGGCGAGGUGAUAUGAACCCUUGACCCGGCGAUGUCCGAAUGGGGAAACCCAGUGCAAUCCGUUGCACUAUCGUUAACUGAAUACAUAGGUUAACGAGGCGAACCGGGGGAACUGAAACAUCUAAGUACCCCGAGGAAAAGAAAUCAACCGAGAUUCCCCCAGUAGCGGCGAGCGAACGGGGAGCAGCCCGGAGUCUGAAUCAGCUUGUGUGUUAGUGGAACGGUCUGGAAAGUCCGACGGUACAGGGUGAUAGUCCCGUACACGAAAGCACACUUGCUGUGAACUCGAAGAGUAGGGCGGGACACGUGGUAUCCUGUCUGAAUAUGGGGGGACCAUCCUCCAAGGCUAAAUACUCCUGACUGACCGAUAGUGAACCAGUACCGUGAGGGAAAGGCGAAAAGAACCCCGGCGAGGGGAGUGAAAAAGAACCUGAAACCGUGUACGUACAAGCAGUGGGAGCCUCUUUAUGGGGUGACUGCGUACCUUUUGUAUAAUGGGUCAGCGACUUAUAUUCUGUAGCAAGGUUAACCGUAUAGGGGAGCCGAAGGGAAACCGAGUCUUAACUGGGCGUUAAGUUGCAGGGUAUAGACCCGAAACCCGGUGAUCUAGCCAUGGGCAGGUUGAAGGUUGGGUAACACUAACUGGAGGACCGAACCGACUAAUGUUGAAAAAUUAGCGGAUGACCUGUGGCUGGGGGUGAAAGGCCAAUCAAACCGGGAGAUAGCUGGUUCUCCCCGAAAGCUAUUUAGGUAGCGCCUCGUGAAUUCAUCUUCGGGGGUAGAGCACUGUUUCGGCUAGGGGGCCAUCCCGGCUUACCAACCCGAUGCAAACUACGAAUACCGAAGAAUGUUAUCACGGGAGACACACGGCGGGUGCUAACGUCCGUCGUGAAGAGGGAAACAACCCAGACCGCCAGCUAAGGUCCCAAAGUCAUGGUUAAGUGGGAAACGAUGUGGGAAGGCACAGACAGCCAGGAUGUUGGCUUAGAAGCAGCCAUCAUUUAAAGAAAGCGUAAUAGCUCACUGGUCGAGUCGGCCUGCGCGGAAGAUGUAACGGGGCUAAACCAUGCACCGAAGCUGCGGCAGCGACACUAUGUGUUGUUGGGUAGGGGAGCGUUCUGUAAGCCGUUGAAGGUGUGCUGUGAGGCAUGCUGGAGGUAUCAGAAGUGCGAAUGCUGACAUAAGUAACGAUAAAGCGGGUGAAAAGCCCGCUCGCCGGAAGACCAAGGGUUCCUGUCCAACGUUAAUCGGGGCAGGGUGAGUCGACCCCUAAGGCGAGGCCGAAAGGCGUAGUCGAUGGGAAACAGGUUAAUAUUCCUGUACUUGGUGUUACUGCGAAGGGGGGACGGAGAAGGCUAUGUCAGCCGGGCGACGGUUGUCCCGGUUUAAGCAUGUAGGCGGAGGUUCCAGGUAAAUCCGGUACCUUAUUAACGCUGAGGUGUGAUGACGAGGCACUACGGUGCUGAAGUGAUAAAUGCCCUGCUUCCAGGAAAAGCCUCUAAGCAUCAGGUAACACGAAAUCGUACCCCAAACCGACACAGGUGGUCAGGUAGAGAAUACCAAGGCGCUUGAGAGAACUCGGGUGAAGGAACUAGGCAAAAUGGUGCCGUAACUUCGGGAGAAGGCACGCUGAUGUGUAGGUGAAGCCCCUGCGGGUGGAGCUGAAAUCAGUCGAAGAUACCAGCUGGCUGCAACUGUUUAUUAAAAACACAGCACUGUGCAAACACGAAAGUGGACGUAUACGGUGUGACGCCUGCCCGGUGCCGGAAGGUUAAUUGAUGGGGUUAGCUGUAAGGCGAAGCUCUUGAUCGAAGCCCCGGUAAACGGCGGCCGUAACUAUAACGGUCCUAAGGUAGCGAAAUUCCUUGUCGGGUAAGUUCCGACCUGCACGAAUGGCGUAAUGAUGGCCAGGCUGUCUCCACCCGAGACUCAGUGAAAUUGAACUCGCUGUGAAGAUGCAGUGUACCCGCGGCAAGACGGAAAGACCCCGUGAACCUUUACUAUAGCUUGACACUGAACACUGGUCCUUGAUGUGUAGGAUAGGUGGGAGGCUUUGAAGCGUGGACGCCAGUCUGCGUGGAGCCAACCUUGAAAUACCACCCUUUAAUGGCUGGUGUUCUAACGUGGACCCGUAAUCCGGGUUGCGGACAGUGUCUGGUGGGUAGUUUGACUGGGGCGGUCUCCUCCCAAAGAGUAACGGAGGAGCACGAAGGUUGGCUAAUCCUGGUCGGACAUCAGGAGGUUAGUGCAAUGGCAUAAGCCAGCUUGACUGCGAGCGUGACGGCGCGAGCAGGUGCGAAAGCAGGUCAUAGUGAUCCGGUGGUUCUGAAUGGAAGGGCCAUCGCUCAACGGAUAAAAGGUACUCCGGGGAUAACAGGCUGAUACCGCCCAAGAGUUCAUAUCGACGGCGGUGUUUGGCACCUCGAUGUCGGCUCAUCACAUCCUGGGGCUGAAGUAGGUCCCAAGGGUAUGGCUGUUCGCCAUUUAAAGUGGUACGCGAGCUGGGUUUAGAACGUCGUGAGACAGUUCGGUCCCUAUCUGCCGUGGGCGCUGGAGAAUUGAGGGGGGCUGCUCCUAGUACGAGAGGACCGGAGUGGACGCAUCACUGGUGUUCGGGUUGUCAUGCCAAUGGCACUGCCCGGUAGCUAAAUGCGGAAGAGAUAAGUGCUGAAAGCAUCUAAGCACGAAACUUGCCCCGAGAUGAGUUCUCCCUGAGACUUUAAGUCUCCUGAAGGAACGUUGAAGACGACGACGUUGAUAGGUCGGGUGUGUAAGCGCAGCGAUGCGUUGAGCUAACCGAUACUAAUGAACCGUGAGGCUUAACCUU